rnacentral:lncRNA from 1 species
UCGACGCUGCCACUUCGCGGUUCCCUUCUGCCAUCCCUUCUACCUUCUCCCCAUCAGAUCCCGCAGCUUCACGCCUCGAAUCCCUUGUGUGCCACUUCGUCUUCCAAUUCGAAGUCUUUGGAAUUCGAGUCUGUCAAAGAGCUCCGAUCCAUCCACUUGUGCUGGUAUUUCAGAAUCCCUGAUUUUGAUGCACCCAUCUGCGGAUCCUGUUGUUUUGAUUUUAUUUGAUGUUAACUAUCAUCAAGAUGAUAGUGAUUUUGUUGGUUGAUUGGUAUUUGGCUACAGCUAGAACCUAUUAACUUGAUGUUACUGCUAAUGGUAUUGCAGGAAAUUUAGCGAAGUUCCUUUUUUUUUUUUUUUUGACAGUUCAAUGUCAUAUAUAUUAUUUCUUUUUGUAUUGACUGCAUCAUUAUAAUCUAUACAAAGUGAGGGAAA